rnacentral:lncRNA from 1 species
CCUUCUGUCAGGGUGGGGGGAAAUUUGGAGGGGUAGGGGAUUGACUGGGCCUCCCCCUUCCCCAGGAGGUGACCAGCCAGCCCCUGCCUCCCUGGAGAGUGGGCCCAGCCUCCCAGGAACCCAGAAAGCUGAAGAGGAAGGGUCUGAGGCAGCUCCAGAGGCGGGCACCGAGGGCCAGGAGACCGCGGAGAUCACCGACUUCCAGAGGGCCUCCCCGAAUUCCUGAAGAUGCUGCUGGGAGGGGACUGACGCUUCCCCGCCUUGAUGGGGUGGGGGUGGCAGGAGGGGGUUAGUCUGGAUUCCCAGGCUGCGCUCUCUGCUCCCCGGAGACCGCUCUGGAUCCCAUGGCUUUAGGGAGAGGGAGAAAUUCAGGGUGGUGGGGAGGAGUUGGGGAAGGGGCGUGAUUGGGUUGUGGGGCAGAGCUGGAGCUUCGGGGUGUGUUUAGACCUCAGGACACUAAGUACUAAGAAGGUCCCGCCGGGGGCGUGGUUAGGAUGCCUGGG